ensembl:lncRNA
CUUUGGGUUUAUCUUUGAUUACCUACUUUAUAAUCUGACUUAUCAACCUGCAAUAUGUUUCCCGUAUUACUCAGUGCAUGUGUGUGUGUGUGUGUGUGUGUGGCACUCAGACGGUAAGUAUUCGAUAAGGGGAAGAGUGGGCGCUGGCCUUCUAGGAAUAAAUAUAAAUGAUUGAGAUUCAGUGACUGUAGUUUUACAAUGAUAAAUGUCCUUCUUCAUCAGAGCUUUUAGUGGUUUAAAUAGCAUGCUACCACACUACACUUCUUUCUGCAGUAUGUGCCAGUAGGCCUAUGCUGUGCAUGUUUUGAUUAUUAUUUUUUUUUUUUUUAUGCACAGAAUAGACCUUUGUCAGGGUAGCUGAAAACGAGACAGUGGGGGAUAGAAGCACAUUGUUUAUAAACAUUUACAAAGCCAAAAUACUAAACAAAAACUCCAUAAAAAGUUUUGAAAGUUGUGAGCUGUGAAAAUUACAUGUGAUCUAGGACCUUUAUACAGUGCAUGCCAUUGUAAAGACUGUUAGUCUCCAUCACAACCUUGUCUCAAAAAAAAAAAAAAAAAAAACUAUUUUUUUAUUAUAGGAAUAAUAAUAAUAAUAAAAAUAGGAAAAAUGUAACAAUAACAAUAAAAAAUGAAUCUUCAUUUACCUCUAUUGCUCCUAAUGAGAUGAAGGAUGGUGUCCUGGGGUAUUCCCUCCCAGAUCUGGACCAGGGCAUCACUGAGCUCCUGGACAGUCUGAGGUGCAACCUGGCGACGUCAGAUGGACCAAAACAUAAUGUCCCAGAGGUGUUCUAUUGGAUUUAGGUCAGGUGAGCGUGGGGGACAUUCAAUGGUAUCAAUUCCUUUAUCCUCCUGGAACUGACUGCAUAUUCUCACCACAUGAGGCCGGGCAUUGUCGUGCACAAGGAGGAACAAGGACCCAAUGCACUAGCGUAGGGUCUGACAAUGGGUCGAAGGAUUCCAUCCCGAUACCUAAUGGCAGUAGGGGUGCCAUUGUCUAGCCUGUAGAGGUCUCUGUGUCCCUCCAUGGAUAUGCCUCCCCAGACCAUCACUGACCCACCACCAAAUGGGUCAUGCUGAACAAUGUUACAGGCAGCAUAACAUUCUCCACCGCUUCUCCAGACCCUUUCAUAUCUGUUGCAUGUGCUCAGGGUGAACCUCCUCUCAUCUGUGAAAAGCACAGAGUGCCAGAGGCGGACCUGCCAAUUCUGGUGUUCAAUGGCAAAUUCCAAU